UUCCCUGUAGCGCAAAGGAUAGCGUGUUGGACUUCUAAUCCAAAGGUAGUGGGUUUGAAUUCCACCUGGGAUG
rnacentral:tRNA from 1 species